rnacentral:rRNA from 1 species
AUGGCGCCGGCGCCGCUGCAGCACGUGACCGUCCUGGACCGGUGCGAGGUCCGGCCGUCGCCGCCGCCGGAGGCCGGGCAGCCGCGCGCGCUGCCGCUCACGUUCUUCGACCUCGUCUUCUGGGACUUCCCGCCCGUGCAGCGCGUCCUUUUCUACGGCAGCGCGGAGCGGGAACUCCUCGACGUCCCGGGCUUCCUCCGCCGCGAGCUGCCCCUCUUCAAGGCAUCCCUGGCCGCCGCGCUGCACCACUUCUACCCGCUGGCCGGGAGGCUCCCGUGCGAGCUGCCCGCCGAGCCCGAGCUCGCGUGCUCGGACGGCGACUCUGUUCGCCUCACGGUGGCGGUCGGCGGCGACGACUUCGGGGACCUCGCGGGCGACCAGCCUCGCGACACCGCGAGGCUCCGCGCGCUGCUGCCCCCGCUGCCGAGCCGCGGCGGGGGGUCUCGGGGAGUGUUCGCCGUGCAGGUCACCGUGUUCCCUCGCGCAGGUAUAUGCGUCGGCACCACGCUGCACCACGCCGUCGCCGACGGCUCCAGCUACGUGCACUUCGUCAGGACGUGGGCGGCCAUCCACCGCCGGCUCAUCGGCGCCGACAAGAAGGCGGUGGACGUCGUGCCGCCGCUGUUCGACCGGGGCGUCGUGCGCGACGACUCCGGUCUCCGGGAAGCGUUCGUCCGCGAGCUCGCGGAGGCCGGCGACGAGCGGUUGGAUGACUGGGACCUGAGCAGGCGGCCGGGAGGUGGCGGCGUCGUGCUCGCGACGUUCCGGUUCACGGAGCAGCUGCUAGGCCGGAUGGGGAAGCGCGUCGAGUCGGAGACCUCGGCGCGGCGGUGCUCGCCGUACGCGCUGGCGUGCGGCGCAGCGUGGGCCGGGAUCGUGCACGCGCGCGGUGGCAACGGCAGCAACUGCAAUGCUCGGCAUCAGUUCGGGUUCGUGACCGGGUGCAAGCCCCGCGCGAGCCCGCCGGUGCCGGGGAACUACUUCGGCAACUGCCUGGGCCUGUGCCGCGUGGAGGAGGAGGAUCACGACGGCAGGGGCCUCACUCCGUCGGGGGCGUCGGCGGCCAUCUGGCGGGCGAUCGAGGCGCUCGCGGAGCAGGGGCGGGCGCUGCGGGACGCACGCGGGUGGGUGCAGCUCGUGCGGGAGAGCGCGGCUGCGCGCGCGGUGACCGUGGCCGGGUCGCCGAAGCUUGGGAUUUACGCGGCAGCAGACAUGGGCGCGCCGUGGGGCCGGCCGCGGAAGGUGGAGAUCGUCUCGGUGGAACGGACGGGCGCGCUGGCCCUGGCAGAGAACCUCGACGGCCGCGGCGGCAUCGAGGUCGGGGUGGCGCUGCCGCGCGGGGAGAUGGAGGCGUUCCGCGCGUUCUACGCCGGCCUCCGGUGA